UCAUAAGAACACACAAACCUCUCCACCACGAUAAAGUGAUGGCUCCCAGAGAGGUCUGAACAAAUUAAUAUAUGUUUAAUUGUCGUUUCAGGACACACUCUGUCCAGCAAGGACCUCAGCCAGUUUGCAACAAUUGCUAAGGAGAAAAUCCCUGAGCUUCUUCGGUAUGCAUUUGUGAAGUCCGGGCACCGGACCGGCGUACUUGUCAAUUAAAAAAUCCAGGAAGUCAGCUUAGCAGAAAGACAUGACAACAAAUUAGUCAUACAUGUCAAAGAACACAAAACUGCAUCGUCCUAUGGGAGGGCGAAGAUAUCAUUGACAAAUGAAGAAUACAGUUGGUUUGGGGACUUUGCAUAUCUCUGUCCAAGACUCCCAGGACACCAGGCCGGAUUGGAGCCACUCUUCUUCAUGAGCUGUGGAGGACUGUUUAGCAAACUAUCCAAUUAUUUCAAUAGCGAGAAAACGCUAAAUGAACAGGACCGUCAAAAAGUACUGACCGAAACAUUUGCAGAUCCAGAUCAGAGCUCUGGAUGAUCUUAAUUAGACCUGGACUCACCCGGU